rnacentral:tRNA from 1 species
GCCUCGGUGGCUCAGCGGCUAGAGCAACGGCCUCGUAAGCCGUGGAUCGCGGGUUCAAAUCCCGCCCGAGGCUCCA